rnacentral:rRNA from 1 species
AAUAUUGGACAAUGGGGGCAACCCUGAUCUAGUCAGGCCGUGUGUGUGAAGAAGGACUACGGUUUGCAAAGAAUUUUAAGUUGGGAGGUAGGGCUCUAGGUUAAUACCCUGAAGUUUUGACGUUACCCUCAGUAUAAGCACCGGCUAACACUGUGCCAGAAGCCGCGGUAAUACAGAGGGUGCAAGCGUUAAUCGGAAUUACUGGGCAUAAAGCGCUCGUAGGUUGUUCAGUAAGAUGGGUGUGAAAUCCCCGGGCUUAACCUGGGAACUGCUUUCAUAACUGCUGAGCUAGAGUACAGUAGAGGGUAGUAGAAUUUCCUGUGUAGCUGUAAAAUGCGUAGAUAUAGGAAGGAACACCAGUGGCGAAGGCGACUACCUGGACUGAUACUGACACUGAGGUGCGAAAGCGUGGGGAGCAAAC